rnacentral:rRNA from 1 species
CAAGUCGAGCGGAACGAGUUAACUGAACCUUCGGGGGACGUUAACGGCGUCGAGCGGCGGACGGGUGAGUAAUGCCUGGGAAAUUGCCCUGAUGUGGGGGAUAACCAUUGGAAACGAUGGCUAAUACCGCAUAAUAGCUUCGGCUCAAAGAGGGGGACCUUCGGGCCUCUCGCGUCAGGAUAUGCCCAGGUGGGAUUAGCUAGUUGGUGAGGUAAUGGCUCACCAAGGCGACGAUCCCUAGCUGGUCUGAGAGGAUGAUCAGCCACACUGGAACUGAGACACGGUCCAGACUCCUACGGGAGGCAGCAGUGGGGAAUAUUGCACAAUGGGCGCAAGCCUGAUGCAGCCAUGCCGCGUGUGUGAAGAAGGCCUUCGGGUUGUAAAGCACUUUCAGCAGUGAGGAAGGUGGUGUCGUUAAUAGCGGCAUCAUUUGACGUUAGCUGCAGAAGAAGCACCGGCUAACUCCGUGCCAGCAGC